rnacentral:misc_RNA from 1 species
GAUGAAGAACGUAGCGAAACGCGAUAUGUAAUGUGAAUUGCAGAAUUCAGUGAAUCAUCGAAUCUUUGAACGCACAUUGCGCCCCUUGGUAUUCCAUGGGGCAUGCCUGUUCGAGCGUCAUUUGUACCUUCAAGCUCUGCUUGGUGUUGGGUGUUUGUCUCGCCUCUGCGUGUAGACUCGCCUCAAAACAAUUGGCAGCCGGCGUAUUGAUUUCGGAGCGCAGUACAUCUCGCGCUUUGCACUCAUAACGACGACGUCCAAAAGUACAUUUUUACACUCUUGACCUCGGAUCAGGUAGGGAUACCCGCUGAACUUAAGCAUAUCAAUAAGCGGAGA